CGUGGCGAUUGUGCCUGCGGAUUCAUGCUGCCGCGGCCGAUGCCCUCUUUGGGAUGGAGGUUGCGGCCGUGAUUAGGGAUUGGGAGGGAGACGAACAGGGAAUAAGGGAUUUAGAAGUGUGAUUAGCGGAGGGGGUUAUUAGCAAAUUAGCUGACUGGACUUGGAGCGGCGGCGGGCGUGUUUCUGCAAAAUCGUGUUGCUUUUGCUCCCAUACGUGGGAUGUGAAUCGGCCGGCUGAUGAGUCAACGGAUACACGGAUGCACGACCUAUCCCGGAUGCACUAGAUAUGACGCCUAUAUAUAUAUAUAUAUAUAUUAUAUAUAUAUAUACACAUGCAAUGCCUACAACUGGAUCGGGCCUCCGGAGACAGCGUCAAUCUCUGUGUUCUUAAUGAAUAAAUGUGUGUCAUCCUCUCAAUCUACAUGGACGUGUACUUCAAGUAGAGAUGAAACUCUACAUCAGAUAGAUUGCCUAUAUUCCAGGAAGCGGUCCAGCGUGUGCAAGCAGAUCUGGGUGGCGGUAGCUAGGUGGGAAGCUGUCGGGAAGAGUUAGCACCAGAAUCAUCGGUGGCGGCGCUCGUUUGAGGGGGGCAAGUUGCGUGACGCGGUGCAAACUACAGCGACAAGAUGCCCACAGAGUCAGGCGAAUCCGCUGUGGAGCCGGAUACGAGAGCUCUGGAUGGACUAAGAGUUGAACAAGGAGGUUGUCUUAGCUGAAGGAAUGAAGCAUUGUACAGUGCCGGCGGGAGGGCAUCUGGAUUAGACCAUCAAAUCAUGAUUUCAGAAUGUGCAAUGCGUGCUGUUUCAAUUAUUUUUUGCGGUCUGCCAUGGCACAGUAGGGGUGUUGACUUUCUCUCGGAUGAGUUUGAUUUCCUACGUUACUGAAAUGUAGGGAAACCGAAAUGUUUGCACUUUGGCACCGUACGGGAGCUGACUUUCAUGAGGAAGCAAAACUUUAUGGAAACCAAAUACAGGGCAUGCUUGAUUCUUGCCAAAUGAAUCACCCUACUUUAUAUCCUUUUCUUCUUCGGAAUCUACUACAGAAGUUUGCCACGAGCAUAGGGCAUUGCUACAUCUUAUUUGGAUGUGUACAAAUUUAUUAAUAGUACCCCGUUUAGUCCAGUUUUAGUCGUCGCAUAUGUCAUUUUCCCGUUCAUCAGAUUUGAUGAGAGACUAAUGCUACUGCGACCUGAAGUGCGGAUGGUGUCUGUACAUGCAGCGAACCAACUAGGGAUGUCAUUGGUUUUGUAGCUUUCCUUGGUAAGAAUAAUGCACACUCAUCUUUGCAUAUUUUUCAAAUAGUUGAGUUUGUAAUGUACAUGACCAAG